rnacentral:rRNA from 1 species
GACGAACGCUGGCGGCGUGCUUAACACAUGCAAGUCGAACGGAAAGGCCCUGCUUGUGUGGGGUGCUCGAGGGGCGAACGGGUGAGUAACACGUGAGUAACCUGCCCUUGACUUUGGGAUAACUUCAGGUAACUGGGGCUAAUAUCGGAGAGGAGCUCCCGCUGCAUGGUGGGGGGUGGAAAGUUUCGGCGGUUGUGGAUGGACGCGCGGCUUAUCAGCUUGUUGGUGGGGUAGUGGCUGACCAAGUCUUUGACGGAUAGCCGGCCUGAGAGUGUGACCGGCCACCUUGGGACUGAGAUACGGACCAGACUCGUACGGGGGGCAGCAGUGGGGAAUAUUGCACAAUGGGCGGAAGUCUGAUGCAGCAACGCCGCGUGCGGGAAGACGGCCUUCUGGUUGUAAAACGCUUUCGCCUAUGACGAAGCGUGAGUGACGGUAAUGGGUAAAGAAGCACCGGCUAACUACGUG